rnacentral:rRNA from 1 species
GAGUCUAGCAUGUGCGCGAGUCGUUGGGACUUGCGAAACCUAAAGGCGUAAUGAAAGUGAAGGUCAGCCUUGCGCGGACCGAGGGAGGAUGGGCCGCGCCACGACGCGGCCCCGCACUCCCGGGGCGUCUCGUUCUCACAGCGAGAAGAGGCGCACCCAGAGCGUACACGCUGGGACCCGAAAGAUGGUGAACUAUGCCUGGUCAGGACGAAGUCAGGGGAAACCCUGAUGGAGGUCCGUAGCGAUUCUGACGUGCAAAUCGAUCGUCGGAACUGGGUAUAGGGGCGAAAGACUAAUCGAACCAUCUAGUAGCUGGUUCCCUCCGAAGUUUCCCUCAGGAUAGCUGGCGCUCGCUUUGCGAGUCUCAUCCGGUAAAGCGAAUGAUUAGAGGCAUUGGGGUCGAAACGGCCUCAACCUAUUCUCAAACUUUAAAUGGGUGAGAUCUCCGGCUUGCUCGAACUUGAAGCCGCGAGACAAAAUUUUAAACAUUGGAUCAGAGUGCCAAGUGGGCCACUUUUGGUAAGCAGAACUGGCGCUGUGGGAUGAACCAAACGCAGAGUUAAAGCGCCUAAAUCGACGCUUAUGGGAUACCAUGAAAGGCGUUGGUAACUUAAGACAGCAGGACGGUGGCCAUGGAAGUCGGA